AUCACGAUAAAGCCAGAGCAACUUCAAAAGUCGUUGCUGCUUUUGCUGAACAUAGGGGAUUUGAUAAAAUUUUAAUAUAUUCAAAACAGGCUGGGUACAGUCCAGAUUAACUAUUCCUUCUACAGACAAUCCUUCAUUCAAAUCCUCAGGUAUUGGACUAUAUCUCUUUCUGUUUGUAUGUUUUGUUGUUUUAGUACUUACUCGUUUACAAUUCUUUUCAACUCAUUUUAUCUAAUCUCAUCUAAUUAUUAAAACUUUCUCAAAUUCCCACACAAAUAAAAUAAACAAUUCAACUUUUUCAAA